rnacentral:rRNA from 1 species
GACGAACGCUGGCGGCGUGCUUAACACAUGCAAGUCGAACGGUGAAGCGCCUUCCUUUUUGGUGGGUGUGGAUGAGUGGCGAACGGGUGAGUAACACGUGAGUAACCUGCCCCCUUCUUCUGGAUAACCGCAUGAAAGUGUGGCUAAUACGGGAUAUUCUGGGUCUGUCGCAUGAUGGGUCUGGGAAAGAUAUUGUUUCGGUGGGGGAUGGGCUCGCGGCCUAUCAGCUUGUUGGUGGGGUGAUGGCCUACCAAGGCGGUGACGGGUAGCCGGCCUGAGAGGGUGGACGGUCACACUGGGACUGAGCCACGGCCCAGACUCCUACGGGAGGCAGCAGUGGGGAAUAUUGCACAAUGGGCGCAAGCCUGAUGCAGCGACGCCGCGUGAGGGAUGGAGGCCUUCGGGUUGUGAACCUCUUUCGCCAGUGAAGCAGGCCUGCCUCGUUUGUGGGUGGGUUGACGGUAGCUGGAUAAGAAGCGCCGGCUAACUACGUG